CUGCUGUUGGGUGUUGUAUCGUUGAUGGCUGGGUCGACGAUGCUUCCAGGAUAUGGUGGAUACCAAACCGCAACGCCGCCGCCUUAAGUCCCGAAGUAUAACUCUGCUUAGAGCUGCAUCACUAAAGAGCCGAAGUACUGCACCGAGGCUCCCAAUUACUACACCACUAAGGCAUAGGAACGACUACGUAUGCUGCCCAUGUCAACUACACCGAAGCGCCUAAGUACUACACUACAACCUACGCUACCCCGAGCUGCUACACCGUCGCCCCGAAGUAAUACUCUGCGUAAAAGAAUUCGUAUAAAAGGAGUGAGAAAAGGUGGUCGAAAUCAAUCGAGUGACGAUCUCCGACACGGCAACAAUUGCAGUGCACUAUCUGUCAUCAAUUACAUUCCUCAUCGUGUAACCAGUUCGUAAUCAUGGUUAACUAUAGCGUCGUGCUGCUGUUGGGUGUUGUAUCGUUGUUGGCUGGGUCGAACACUGGUGUACCGACGUUUCCAGGAUAUGGCGGAUACCAAACCGCAGUGCCGCCACCUUACUAGACAACUUACGAGUUGGUUACUGCUGCAACGACCAGUUGCGACCGAGGCCCCCAAGUGCUACACCAUUAAGGCACCGGAGUUUUAUACCACAACUAACGCUGCCCCGAGCUACUACACCGACGCCCCGAAGUAUUAAUACUCUGCCGCGACUUUUCAGUCAGAUUUUCAGAGCCUGAUUGAAGUGAUUAACGAAUUUGACGAAUGUGACUCCAUUUCCCGCCAUAAACUGGAGUUCUACUGUCGGGCACUAGAGUUCUAUACUUCUAUUGUCGGCCCGGCCAGCCGCCAGAUGACGCGAGUGUCUUUGAGAGGACGAAAUUUUCGCCAUUUUGUUCCAAAACGCCAAGGGAAAAGGUAUUCCAAAUUCGUUACGGAAUUGCGGUGUCGAUCUACAUUUUCAGCAUUGAAAUUUUUAUGGCAAUCUGGCAUAUAAUUUCCACUUGGCCAAAUAAUCGAUCACGUGGACUGAAACUGCUUUCCAAUUUCGCCUAAAUGUCGUCCGUUGUUAGCUGUACCUGUUCGGAUGUACGUCUCAUCUCACGCAGAAACAAUACAGAGUUGGUGUUCAGGUUGGAGAUCCCGUUGCUUAACUGUUGCAGAAUGUGAGAACUCAACGAAGUCUGAGCUCCAUGGCUGGCAUCAUGGCCACAGUGGUUUUGUUGCAGCCAGCUGGUAAAAGGUGUGAUCGAGUGAAGUUGAGCUGCAACUGCUGCAUGCAGUUUAUCGAGCUGGUGUUAUCCUGAAGUGUCAUUGCAGGAAGACUUUUUGAAAUGGACUUGGUGAGACUUAAAGCUAUGCCUAUGCUGUUCAAUGUGCAGUGGUUUUGCAGCUUGUUUCCAGUUGAGAGAUGUCAUUAUGCAGCUGAUACAGGAUUGAAGAAAAAGAACUGAAGUAGCUGUGCUGGAGUUCUCCUGAAAUUGCUGUGCCACAGGAGUUGCAAAUAGUGUUUGGUUCUUCAUAUAAGUUUAUUUGAAGAGUCAGGAGAUGAUCAUCCACUUCUGCCUAUAACUUAUGUAAAACUUCAAAGUUGUAAGAAAUAUACAAGUCAAGUGCUAAA
rnacentral:lncRNA from 1 species